UUUUGUCUCUGGUGUCAGAGCUGAUUUAGUGCUGGGUAAGAGCAACUGAAGUUGUCUUUACGUGGCCAAAGACUGCCAUAGGGUAAACUGCAUCCAUCCUUUUACUUCUGCCAGUGGACAAACAGGUUCCAUGUGGAAGUUUCUAGGAAAAUACAAGACAAGUACUUUUCAAAGGAAUGUACUUGCACUAUAAAGGCUCUUAAUUUCUAUUUGUUAUGACAGGGAUAUUUUUACAUACUCAGAAGGCAAGUGUAUGAUAAUUAGUUUAAAAGGUACCAGCUAUCAAGUAAUUUUUUCUUUGCCUUCUUAAUAAGUGUUGCAGUUUUUCCUAUGAUUCUUUCUCUAGCCUGUACUAUGACAGAAGACCCGUACCAGCACGCUCCUGGAGGGAAUUUCACCAUCUAACCGCUGCCCUGUUGUGAUGUGACAAGGUUGCAUUUACCACUGUAAAUCAAUGAAAUGAAGACAUGCUCAGCGUGGUUCAGGUUCCUGAUGCUCAAGCAUACCCCAGUCCCUUCGGCUGCAGCGAUUAUAUAAUGAUUAUUAUCAACAAGGCUCAAGGUAAUUUAGCAACAGAACAAGAUACUCCAAGACAGAGCCUUGACUGCCCUCGGCUGCUCUUCACUUUUCCAUGCUCUACUAACGAGCUCCUGGGAUUCCAGCCUAGUUCAAUCAAAAUCAACUGGAAUAUUGGAACACAGAAUUAGCGGCAGCUACAAUGAAUACAGACUGUAGUAGAACUGACACACAUCUCUGAGUUACUGAGAUCUGCAGAGAACAGAGUAUGUCCAGAAGCUUCAUGUUAAUAAAUACUAACUUGAUAGUCUAGUGCUGACA
rnacentral:lncRNA from 1 species